GUAGGGGCCUAAAAUACCCUAAAGGCACCAGAUCCAGUCUGAUCUUGGAUGUUAAGCAGUGUUAGCCCUGGCUAGUACUUGGACGGGAGACCGCCAGUGAAUACCAGGACUGUGGCAAGG
rnacentral:rRNA from 1 species